UGGAAGUGAUGAAAUAGAGAUAAUUGGAUGUCUCUCUGAAUGGAGUGUGUGUGAUAAAUGGAAUUUAGUCAGACUGGGGGUGGGGUGUGGGGAGCGUGUGUGCGUGCAUGUAUAGAAAAGGCUUUAAAUGGGGGCACUGAUGGUGCGGUGCUGAUUCCGGAGUGCAUCUGAGGCAUGUUGUUCAGUUCUGGGGUGCCACUUCACAACAUUGCCAAUGAUUAAAGCCCAAAACAAGCCCACCAAGACGAGCCUAGGCAUCCUGAAUCUCUAACAGGUUCAUUAAUGAAAGUGAUCCUGUGAUCUGAUCUGA
rnacentral:snoRNA from 1 species